CCUACGGGUGGCAGCAGUGGGGAAUAUUGGACAAUGGGGGGAACCCUGAUCCAGCCAUGCCGCGUGUGUGAAGAAGGCCCUCGGGUUGUAAAGCACUUUCAGUGAGGAAGAACGCCUGGUGGUUAAUACCCAUCAGGAAAGACAUCACUCACAGAAGAAGCACCGGCUAACUCCGUGCCAGCAGCCGCGGUAAUACGGAGGGUGCGAGCGUUAAUCGGAAUUACUGGGCGUAAAGCGCGCGUAGGUGGCUUGAUAAGCCGGUUGUGAAAGCCCCGGGCUCAACCUGGGAACGGCAUCCGGAACUGGCAAGCUAGAGUGCAGGAGAGGAAGGUAGAAUUCCAGGUGUAGCGGUGAAAUGCGUAGAGAUCGGGAGGAAUACCAGUGGCGAAGGCGGCCUUCUGGACUGACACUGACACUGAGGUGCGAAAGCGUGGGUAGCAAACAGGAUUAGAUACCCCAGUAGUC
rnacentral:rRNA from 1 species